GUUGGUGAACCAGCGGAGGGAUCAUUAUCGAGUUUUUAACUCCCAAACCCUAUGUGAACUUACCAUAUUGUUGCUUCGGCGGAUCGUCCCAGCCAGGCCCUUCACGGGGUCUGCUGGAACCAGGCGCCCGCCGAAGGUAUCAAACUCGUUUUUUUAGAAUUCUCUGAGUAGCCGAAAGGCAAAAAAACAAAUGAAUCAAAACUUUCAACAACGGAUCUCUUGGUUCUGGCAUCGAUGAAGAACGCAGCAU
rnacentral:misc_RNA from 1 species